rnacentral:lncRNA from 9 species
AAGGAGAACGAAGAAGGAGAGCCUCGUGUUCUGCUAGAUAUUACUGCUGAGCUGAUUUAACAUCUCAGAUCUUAAGCUCUUCUUGAGUUCAGCGGAGCUUCACAACUAUUAAAAUACUUGGGAUUCAACGGAUACACCCAAAAGAAAAUGGAAACUCAUCUGCAUAACAAAGCCUGGAAGAAAGCAGGCAUUGCAUCAGCCAUUGCCAGAUCUCAGCUUUCUCAACAAGCUCUGAGUUUUUCAGAAUGAACACAGCACAAGAUACUGCAUCUUUUGAAGCUCGUUUCUACUGAAGAGUUUCUACGGCGGACCUUUUCAGGAUACCUUCGUCACACGUGAGCAGUGUGCUAACGGGAGCAGAAAAGCUGGGCAUCCCAGGGCCGGCCUCAGAAGACGCAGAUGUCCACGGGCAGGCAGUGAGCAGCGAGUUUUCUCCUUUCUCCUCCAUCCCCGGAUGACAGCCCCCAGAUCCUGAGGUCUCUGCAACGCAGCUUACAGGAAACAUCCUGACCAGGUCCAUCUGUGAAAGGCUGCAGGAAGGAAGAAAUGAACACACCCCCUCCCGUGUCUGGCCAGAAUCAAGAAAUAUCUGCAGCAAUUUACCACCUUUCUUUUACUUUACCUCCUGGAACCUUCUUCUCUUUGUUCUAAAGACACUCGCAUCCAAACCUAGGCAAGACAGUUCUUUGGAUCACUAGUUCACCCUCUCCUCUGUCUGCUGGCUUUCCAUACAAAUCCUCUCUUCCUUGCCCCAACAUUUCCUCUCUGGAUUGACUGCUCUGCUGUGCAGUGAGCAGUAUGAGUGUGGACUCAGG